UUUGGCAGAUGUCACUUUGCAUUGCGACGUGGUGUGACGAAUAUUUGCAGAUUCUUGUUUCCCAAUGUUUCAUCCCUGUCAUCACCUAGACUGCAGAUCUCCACUGGCAGACUCAGCAACAAGCCUGGUGCCCGUAUGACGUUCGCAGCUGCUCAGCAGUCAGCCAGCUUUUGGAUUCACGAGUCUGCUCUCCAGACUUGAAGUCAUUUCACACUGCUGGAAAUAACUCUGCAGAUGGUGUGAGGGUGAUAAACGUCUCCAUAAUUAGACAGCCCAAUGACACUGAUGAGUAUUUGCUUUCCAUGAAAAUACAGCAAAUUCAAGUCGAUGAAACGUGAAGAAAAUUUGCUGUCCCACUGCUUCUUUUGGGAAGUUCAACAGUCACCUUCCCGCAGACCCAUAAACAGACAGUUUUCCCUCAACCCUCAGGAAUGAAUGAAUGGCUGUCGCAUGAAUCACAGAGUCCUGCGGCGUUCAUUUCCCUUUGAAAGCUUAAUUUGGCACAACAAAUUAUGUCAUUUCAGUGAUACCACAUACCUCUGACUUGGUUAGCAUUACAGAAAUACCAACAAAAAUCACAAAGUGGGCAUAUUAUUUCUGGAAGAUUGAGUUACACUUGUAUAAGGACCUGGUGUUAUUCAUGUAAAAUGAGCUCUGGCCCACAGUCAGCCUGUAAUGUACUUUUAUACUGUAUAUUGUUCAUGAUCACCCCAUCCAUUCAUUCAUUGUACGAGCCCCAUAAUGCACUGCAACAGCUUGUCAUUACUAAUAGAGAAACACAUAUUUCCUCUUCUGCAUCAACCAUGGAUUGGCUGUAUGUUCAACUUCAGCUGGAGUAAGUGGAGAAAUUUGUCCCUUUCCAUUAAGUUCAGACAACACCAGGUUCAACAGGAAAAAGUGACCAUCCAAGAGGAAAGUCAAGCAGUGGAUGGAAAAUGCCCUAAAGCAACUGUCUGAUUGACAGUUGCAGGCCUGGAAACUGGAGGGAAAACCAGAAUCAUUCCAACAAUAAUUCACAUGUAGGUGAAUGGACAGUUUACGUUUUUGCAUCAUCAGAAUCAAAACACUUUUUCUUACAUUCCUGUAACAUGUCUUAUUUGCCACCCAGCCUCCAGAAUUCUUCCUUUCAUAACAUGUUAUUUAGAUCUGAUGUUCUAUUAUGACUAUUAAAAUGUAAGUGCCAGUUAAAGCCAAUAAAAAGUCAAGAAACUUUUCUGUCCGCAUCAGCGCUCAUGAGGAGGAGCUUACGUGUUAUAUGUUGCCACUGUGGUGUUUGAACGUUCCAUUCCUUCUGAGUUAAAGUUUCAAAUCUCAAAGAGAUUGUAGUUUCUCAUUUGGCUGUGAAGUCUCUAUUCAUCAGCUGGUUUCCUAGCAACUAUCACCUUAUAGUUUAGAUACUGAAAUACAAACUGUAUUAUCUCUCAGCAUUCCAGUCAGAAAACAGACCCUCACACUGGAACGCAAAAUAACCUGCUGCUGAACAGACCAAGGUCAAGCUUCCCCCCCAAGGGUCAAUAAACUUUGAAAUAAAAGCUGACUCUGAGUAGAAUACAAUGUGCAUAUUACGAAACAACCUACUGACUGUAAAAAAAAAAAAAAAAAUUACACAAUAAGGACCUUGAAUCACAUGAUGAUAUAUUAUUUUUUACCCCUGGAAAACUUUGCCCAAAAGACCUAUGAAAGCUGUGGGGUGCCAGCCAAACCUGGGCCACGUCAUUGUUUUCUGUGGACUGAGGCAGCUUGAAGUAGAUAUACAUCUCUCCCAUAGCACUCCAGUGUCAUGGCAAGCAUCAAAGUGCAGGGAAAGCAGCAUUGAAGGGCAAUUUUAUUGAGAUUACAUUUAUUAUUUUUUAUAUUUUGUUUUAUUUUAUUUUGGUGACAUAAAAUAAAUGCUGCUUUCUUUCAUCAUAUUGCUGGUUAAAGACAAUAGAUGUAACCUCUGUUUGGCCACUUUGUUUAGCUGGGUUGAGACAUGAUAUAAAUCAAUUUGCAGUUGAAAAGAUUCUUCAUGGGAAACCUGACAAUCACUUUAUUUCCUCUGCUAGUCAGCUCUCUUGUUGAAACCCAUUUAACAUCGGCAUAACAAGCCCAGCAACAUGUUGGCUUCGCGGCAGAUCACCUUUGAACUCUUCCCCGCUGAAUGAAUCACAGAAGCUGCACUACCGACACAAACAACUGAGUCAUAUUGAAAACUUGUGGAAAUCCUGUUGAGCGUUUGUUCUGGAGGAAGCGAGUAAGAGAUCACAAAUGGUAUUCUAUUACCAGGUGUGAUGUGUUCACUGCAUGACUUGACCAAAAGAGCUGCAGUGUCAGAUGGACUGACAGAUGGCUGGGGUCACCAGAGCAUCUGCCAAAAUUCUACUAUUUCAAGCAAGCAUCUCUUCUGCUGCUGAUUGUUACUCGUGGUCUCACAGAUAUGAAAUGUCCUUGUUAAUGGUCUGCGUUUCAUAUGUGGUCACAGUGGUCAGCAGAAUUCACUCCUGGACACUGAGUUAUCUUCAGAAAAACUACAAUCCCCUCUGUGGGGCUCACUGCAGAAGUGAGGAGAAGAAAGGGAAGUGGAAGAUACACGUUUGACCCACAUCUCUUGCUUCAUGGUGUCGUUUGAGGAGCGACCUGCGUUUAUUCACCAUCCAGUUCCUCCCAUACUGUGAUACUACAUACCCUACUGUACAGCAAGUGAAUAUGAAACAAAUAUUAAUAAUUUAUUUUGAGGCUAUGAGGUGUAGAAACAGCGUUUGUACGUGUGUUGCCGUGUGCUGUUAUGAAAAGCCUGCCCUGAAUUAGCUAAAGUGCCGGAUCUUAGUUUUCUGAAAACCCUUGGCGUAAUUCCUGGUGAACAUUUCAAAGACUUUGACUGUGAUCCUUCUGUAGUCAGAGGGUUUUAAGCAUUUGUGGAUGCUGCGCUCCUGUCUCCUCUUGGAUAUGCUGAGGAACAGCACGUGUUGCAGCUCGUCUGAUCUUGGUGAUGACUGAGCGGCUUUCAUCCGAGUCUCUGCGUCGUGCGUGCGAUUAAGAGAUCACCGCAGCUGUGGCAGAACUCUGGCGUGAAGGAGCUGAGACGAAUUAUCUGAUGGACUGCUUUUUUGGGGGAUUGGAAAUGAAGCCACAAGAAGAGGGUCUUGCUUGUUAAAUGUGAGUGACAAGGAUGUUUUUGUUACUGCCCAGUGAUUCGUGACUAGUCAGCUGUAGUGAGCUAAAAGAAGCAUCAAACUUACCUGGAGAAAUGUCUCCAUCGCUCUGCUCUCCGGAGUCUGAAUCCAUCUUCCUCUGCAGGACACACAGAGGCUGCAGAAGUUCUUCUUGUUCCCUUUCCUCUCCAGGGAGUCUUCAGAUUCCUUACCCAGGAAACAAAACCCACUAUCUCCUUCUCGCCCCCUCCCAGCCUGGAUCACUGCCGCUGCUGGAGGAAUGCUUCUUUUUUGCUCGACUUGACUCUCUCCUCUCCUUUAUUGACUCCGUCAGUUCUCCUAUUUCCUUCCCUCUGUAGUCCACUUUCCAGGUUUCUGAUGCUCCCACCCCUUUCUUCCUCUCGGUCCGCCUUCCCUCAUUUUCUUCCUUGUUUCUGACUCUUCGAUCCUCCUCCUCCUCCUCCUCCUCUGGUUUGGUGCUGUCACACUCAGCCGUUUCAGGCUCUCUCCUCACCAACUCUUUCUGUAUGCUGUGAGAGCAGUUUCUCCCUCUCUCUUCAUUUAACUCUUCCUCUGAGUGCUGCCUGUGUUUUCAGGUCCAAUUGGAGGCUCAUUCUUGGCAACUUGAAACUGAUCUGAAGCACUGGAAGUAUCUCGUGACCACUUGUUGCUGCAGUAAAACACAGUCAUGAUGGUCACAUGACAGGUGCCAGAGGCCUUUAUGUGACAAUAGACUUCAGGGAGUAGUGUUGAAAUAGUUGUGAUGAGGGGGCAGUUGAUGGUCAAACCGCACUUGGAGGCAAGUCCCUGAGGUGUUUAGUCUGACUGUUGGCUGCUCAGCAGGACCACUUGUCACCAGAUGGCCUCGCCUGCACACCGCCAGAGGACCAAUUAACAUCAAUGUUGAGUGAAUUUGGGUAUAAUAAAUAUAAUAUUAUAAUAAUAGUAUAAUAUUUAAAUUUGUCCUAACUUUUACAUUAUUAUCCAGAGCUUCACGUUCGAUAAAGAAACAGCGCCCCGUGCCACGCUACAUCUAUCUACAUUUCAUCCUCUGACUUCCAGUGAAACACCUUAAAAAUGUUUUAAUAUUAUUUACCGUAAUUUACCCUAAAUUAACUAUUGAGCGCAGUGGAAUAUUAGCCGCACCAAAUAAAUUUAAGAAGGAAAAUAGCUCUUGUUCAUACAUAAGCCGCACUGGCAUAUAAGCCGCAGGUUCUGUGGUGCUGUCUGCGCUGUGGACAAGUCAGUGGUGCACCGUCUUAAAAACUAGUUUUGAAAAUGGGUCCAUCAUCGAGAGUGAGGAAAUAGCGGAAACAAGCUGCGUAACACGGAGCGUCUUGAUUUAUCCACGCUGCUCUCACAAUAAACAAGGUGCAGGUCUCCAGCUGCGAUCAAGUCCGUGGCCAAAACCCGACUCAAUUGUGUUCACAUCGGACUUCUGAGCCGAAAGCACUUUGUCUCGAGACAGCGUCUCACAUCUUUUAUUCACAUUAAAGCCCACUGUUUUCGCCCGCGUGCCCUAAGUUCCAACACCACUGCCGGUCUCAGCGGCUUCUUCCUGAUUCCAGACCUCCAGGAGAUCGACUCUGUUGACGGAGCUGUGGACACGCAGGCGAAAACAGCGCAUUUUGAGUGCUUUAAGGGUAAAUGAAAAGCCUCUGAUUUCAAGGAUUUCAUCGACUGUGGGGUUGUAUAAGCCGCAGGGCUCAGACCGCGAGAAAACAGUAGCGGCUUAUAGUCUGGAAAUUACGGUAAAUGUUUGCCGGUGCAUUAACUCAAAGUUAUUGAAAUUGUUUUGCUAAUGUACCUCAGUAUGUACUCACAAAUCAGAAGGCAUUAGAUUAGUGCUCUUAUGUAAGUCACAUUUGUUGCAGCCUGAAAUCAAAACUAGAUGGAGGAAAUGAGAGGUAUAUGUGGUCCAUGUUUUGACGGAGGAGCAGUUGUAGCCUCUGCUAUCAUCAUCAUCAUCAUCACCAUCGACAGCGCCCACUCAUUACAGAAGUCAUCUGCGCCAUGCUGCGACAGCUGUCAACACUUCUGUUCGUGGCGUGCUCCUGCAGUUCCUAUGUACGGUCUAUAUCAGGGAUCCAGUUUGAAAGCAACAGCUCCUUCAAAACCCUCCCACGCUGCUGACCGGUGAAUUACACAAUGAAAACACGUCAAGUCCAAAGAGUCGGUCAGUGAACUGCAGUGAGCUGCCCGCGCCGAAGAUGGAGAUGAGCCCAAAAGGUCAAAGGAGUCUGACAACAAAGCCUGAGGCUGGAUGGAAAAUAUUACACCCUGUGUGUGUUUUGAUGUUAAAUAUUUACAGAGGGAUCACAGACAAUGGUUUAUUGCCGUUGAAUGUUUGCACAACGCAGGGAUUUGGUCCAGUGUGCAUAAAAAUGAAUUCAAUAGCGAACUGUAAACGAAAGAUCCAUCUGAGGAAUGGAGUGGAAUGGAAAGGAGUCUGAGGAAACAUAAACUGGAGAAAAAAGCUGACAUUUUCAGCAGAUGACGAGUCCUCCGAACAUAAACACCAGAGCAGCAUCAGCUGAAGACUCUUAGCUCAUCUUAACAGUGAAAUAGCUGCAAUAGCUCAAGUGGAGAACAUAUUUCUGUCAGCUGUGUCUGCAAGCCGCAAUACUUUUAAAAAAUAUCCGAGAAUGAAGCUUAGCAUCCUCGCUCUCACUGUGAGGACUAAGCUAGUCGUACGCCAUAUCAGGUGCUUUGAAUGUCUGCGUAACUGAACUCGCACAUAUGUUGAUGUACGGCAUGCCGCAGUGUUUUCAUUGUUUCUGAACCAAUUCCAGCUUACAGCUAUUGUUUGCCAUUGCCUGCGUUUAGGCUCACCGUUUCCCCUGCCUGUUUGUUGUUGGGGAUUGAACCAAAAAAGUCAAUGUACAAUUUGGACGGCAACAUUCAUCUUACAAUUGGAUUGGAGACAAAGAUUAAGCUCAGAUUUAAGACCAUUUCAUUUGAGUCUUUCAAAGUAACGCAAGUUUAUUUGGACCCGAAAUGCAUGAAGACUAGAAACCAGGACGGUUGUUUGACGUAUUCACCUUCGCCUCCCUCAAACACGUGGCCCGCAUCACAAGUCCACAGGAACAGAGUCUGAACUUCUGUGAAAUUUGCAGAAUGGAAGUGUUUCAAAAAGACAAUUGACGAUUCUUAAGUUAAAUCAACUGUGUAUGGGAACCACUGCUGGAGCUACCGUCUCGAUCGCAGCAUUAACGUCAUGAAAUCAGUAAAACAUGUGUUAUGGAAACGCCACAAAGUGACCAAGCUGCCACGUUUCCUCAGCCUUCGCGCCGCGCUCUAGCAAACGUUUUAGAAACUCAAAACUUUCUGCACAGCAUAGUAAUAGUAAUCGAUUCGUCGUUGUUGCUCUAAAUUGUGUUUCUCACAGACAGGUUGCGUCAUCACUGUCUUGCUGUUCCGAUGAGAGCUUGCUGACAUUGUCACGUGACGGACGUGUGCAUCGGCUGCUGUGUGUUUAAAGCAGUGAACUUGCAUGUUGUGUUUAGUUCAGUCAGUGGCCACUGGAGGGAGACAUUCCUGAAGGUACUUGUUGCGACAGAACUUUCAAGAAUAUCCGUCAGUAACGGUGUUAGGAAUUGACUAAACGAUGUCCUCAGUUCUGCUCCUAAACGAGUAAAUCUUUCCUCUUCACCUCACCUUUUGACGUCAUGGUAACAUUUGUUGAGGAUGUUGUGUUUUGAUGGUUUUGCCCUCAUCAUGAUUUAAAGAAAAAAAUAUACAGUUUGAUAUAUUUUAGGGAUUUGUGCUUUGCAAAAACGUCAUGGACAGCCUAUUUUUUUUUUUUUUUUACAUUUUAUUGUGUUUGUUCGGAGGCACUCCCACUGCUCACUUAUCAUUAGGUACAGCAACAAUUGAAGUGUGGUAGGUUUUUGUUCUAUACUCAAUGUGGUUGGUUACAGACGACUUGAUAAGUAAUGAUCCUCUUUGGCAAAUCUCAUUUUUAGUUUUGUGGUUCGGUGACUGGUUAGUCUCCUCUGGUCUGCACUCAUCCGACUCGCUCUCGUUGAUCCUCAGAGAUAUGGGCAGUUAUCCUGGGUCACUGCUUCAAAUCUUGUAGUCGGAUCACAUCACAGAGUCGUGACGUGGCUCACUGCAACUGGUACAGUGCUGCAGUUGUGCUGUAGGAUGUGCUUUGUCGUUCUUUAUCCUCCGCCUGGAUUUAAAGAGGUGACAUGUGAUCUCCUCAAAAUACCUCAUUAAAAUGUUCCAUCUGUAAGUUUAACUAUCAGUGAAGGUGAAGGUCUUAUUAUACGAGCAGCCGCUGCCCAUGUGUCUGUUCUUGUGCUUCUAUCUUUGUGAGAACCUGAGUUUUUAAUGAACGUGAGGACAUUUUUACCGGUGCUCACUUUGUCAAGCUUCAGUUUGAGGGUUAAAACUACAAAAUACCUUGGUUAUUUUAAUUGGGUUUUAGUUUGGUUGAGAGUUAAUGUUAAGUUUAGCCAUUUGUUGUAGAUGGUUAGGUUUAGGGGGAGAUGCUGGGGAUGGGGUUAUGUCAGUGACAGGCCUCACUAAGAUAGGAAGACAAACAUGUGUGUGUGCGUGUGUGUGUGAGAUCAUAAGACAAAGUAAAAGAACAGCGCAGUUGAACUCGGUGAACUGAGAGUUUGCCUUUGUUCCGUCUCCUCCCAGAACCACCCGGCCUUCUUUAGAUGUACCAGCCUUCAGGGCAGGACUCUUCUGCCUCUCUGUUCUGAACAUCAAGAUAAUGGAUCUCACAUUUCAACUCGGACCUACAGCCAAUGAUCCAAUGAACAAGUGCACCCAGAAUGUUUCGUACAUUAGGAAAUACAAACCAAAUGACAGAAUGUUUUAUGUUUUUGAUCGCAUGUAGUCAUCGCUGCUGACUCUGUCUCCAUAGCAACAAAGGGUCUCUGCUAAUGAGGCCUUAAUCCAGCUGAGCUCCUAACAGACAGGAAGCCGACGGCAGCGGCUCAUGUUGUAUUUUUUUUACACGUCUAAUUAGUGCAUGAAUGUUGUCAAUCAUCUUAGCAACAUGACACAGAUGGGGAACAAGAGUCCCACAGCUGCAAGGUUUCACGUCAGUUAUUUUCAGAACACUGUGAUGGUCUGUCCAUUUCAAUUUGAUUGACAAAAGAGGUAUCAAGAGUUCUGCAUAUAUCUUGGAUUAAAGACUUCAACAAAUCCUUUCAUCCUAGUCUAAGAGCUGAGGAACACGUUUCUUUCUUCAAAGUUCCAAACGUCCUCUAAGGUGAUGUAAUGUUACGCUGUUGAUGUGUUCUUUCUAUGAACAUAAUAGUCUCAUGUUUUUUCAUGUAUCCGCGUCUUUUGUCACAAUGAAUUUGUAUUGUUAGUCGUGUAGACGCGUCAGUGAGAAGGUACAGACUGGAGUGAUCUUAUCUGUGUGGAGACACAAGGAUCUAUUCAGGAAUCUUGCCCACGGUCACCCACCUCAUACGCAAGACCAGCGAGGUUUACUUGUUGAUAACAGCAUUGAAGGAGAACAAGAGUCUACACAGUGUGGUUUCAACAUGUCUGACGGCCGCCAGACUCCAGCGCCAUCACCUCUGAAGUGUGAGCGAAGCUAGUGUCUGUUCUGUGUUUCGGACCACGUCUGAUCGCACCCUGACACACACACACACAUGUUUGUAUGUCUGUCCUUGUGGGGACCGCUCAUUGCCAUGACCCUUUCCCCAGCCUCUCACCCUAAACCUAACCAUCCCAAACAAAUGGCUAACGUUCAAUGGAAUUAUAAUCUCCCCGAUAUUUUGACGUUUAAUCCUCAAAUUGAGGCUUGUUUCCAAGAUUUGGUCCUCACAAGAAUAGCUAUUAAAGUUUGUACGAAGUCCAAUAUUGACAAUAUCCCUUGAGUAGUCGAGUGACUCCCUCUAUUGACCUGUACGUGUUACUACAGCUGUGCUGCUUAAAAUGCUGGAUGGAUCACGGAGUUUAGAUCUGUUUCGUGUUGGAUGGAAAAGAAGACACUGGGAACAGAACCUGUUAUUGUGCAUGUACAUGUUACAGAUGUUUCACAGUGAUAUGACAACAGAAAUGCAAACUUCAUAUAAAUACAAUUACAGUCGGGAACAUUGGCGAGGCUUUCGAGAUCAACUAAGGAGCAGAAUGACAUGUUUAAAUAAAUGUCGGCUGGUUAAAUAUUAAAGCGCAAAGCUGGGGGUCACCACCACAGUUCAGAGUGUUUUACAGGCCCCCCUCUUCCUGGGCAGGAACGUCAUUGCCAGAUGUUGCGGCUCCUGCUGGUGCUCGUCCGGCUGCUGUGACAGGUUGUUGGUCUGUGGUAGAGUGUCCAGGGUCAGACCCGGGUGGGGACAAAUGGAGUACUGGGAGAGGAGCGUCGCCAGGAUGGUUUUCAUCAUCGUCAUGGCAACGUGUUUGCCAACGCAAGAGCGAGGGCCUGAUCCAAACGGCUGGAAGUACCGCCGCGGCGCCUGGAGGAUGAGAGCGCUUGGGUAAGAUUGAGAGAUGAAGAGGAGAAUGAAGAGAAGUCUUACGUUCUUCUGGAAGUUUUCGAGCCUGAACUCAUUUGGAUUGUUGAAGAAUUCUGUCCGAUGCAUGCGAGCAGUGUUGAGGAUGAUGUUGGUGCCUUUUGGGACUUUGUAGCCGUCGAUGAUGUCAUCAGACAGGGCCCGGCGCAUGGUGAAGUCGACCACAGGGUGAAAGCGCAAGCACUCGUUGAUAAAGCUCUCCAGAACCUGCAGCUUGGGCAGGUCUCCAUUCUGAAGUUUCCCGUCAACUACAGCGAGAAGAUGAGCAGCUGCAGCUCCACCUCCGGGUGCUGCUUGAGGAGCAGCAGCAUGAAGAAGAGGGAGACCGACAGAGUGUCUGGUGCCGCGAUCACCAUCUCUAGCACGCACUGUGUCACGUCGUCGGCUGAGAGCUCCCCGUGGUUCUGAGGGAAGAGGUGAACUCACCAUUGAUGGCGACACCCAGGAAGAGUCUGUUGGAGAUGUCCACCACCGUGCAGCGCAGCAGCCCCAGCACAUCCACCUGAGCCGCCUCCUGAGUGAAGUCCUCCAGGUGGUCCAGGUGAGUCUGUGUGGCCGUGCUGCAGACGUCUACCGUCCGCUGCAGACCAGGUCCGGUCAGAGCUGAUGCACACAGAGCGCACAGGUGUCAGCCGGAGCUACAGCGGGCCGGGUGCGUGGUGCGGCUCACCUCUGCUGAAGUAGGCGCGGAUCUUCUUCCACAGGGAGACGUUGUUGUUGAAGAUGAUGCCGCGCUCGUGCAUGCCCAGGCAGCGGAGACCUGGCUGGCUGCCAAAACGUGAGGUGUAGUUUUGCUGCUUGAGUACGUGAUGCACCGCUGAUGCGCUAGUGAGGGACAGUAACAUGGUGAAAUGAUGAAGUCACUUCAGACCGUAAGUGAUUUCAAACUCACCUGCUGAUUAUUAGAGUCUCUUCUCCGUCGAUCCAGACUCGCACUACAUCUCCGUACCUGUUGUUAUAGUAGUUGCUGGCAGUGCCAAUCCCAGUCCAAAUGAAGCGCAGGUACGACAGGAGUGGCCCCAGACCCAGCAGGUGUGGAGGGCCUGUUCAAACACAGCAUGUUCAGUAAAAACAGCUCCGCUGCGACAGAGGAAGUAAACAGCACCUACCUGGAACUGCUUGCUUCUCGCCAUGAUUCCGAAGCAUCAAGAUGAGGAACAGCAGGGAGAGCAGAAGCCAUGAGGCCCUGAAAACGCAAGGUGAUCCCCCGGCCGUUGAAUUGUGGGACACGGAGACCAGAUCCAGCACCAGGGAGUCCAAACCCACAGGAGUCAUCUCCCACUCACAACCUGACGCCACAUCCAUUUAGAAAGCAGAUUCCAGCUCACCAAGCAGGACCGGACUCCUUCAAGUGAUGGCCAGCCUUCGGGGGGGACGCGGCUCUUUAUGCAGUCCUGGCUUGGGACCGGUUGGGUCAGGGCGAGGCACAGAGCCACAACAUGAGAGCCAACUGUCAAUAACACACCAAUGACCUUGAGGGUUGUUCCCGUGCCAGAGUCCUUGGGUUUACAGUGCCGUAUUUGACAGAUGGUGAGGAGAAGAAGACGUUUGGCUUUGAACAUCAAAGUUUGGACGGUGGACUCGUGAAGAUCGGAUAUUGAUAUUAUGACAAGGAUUAUCUCGCAUUUACAUUCUUGCGUUUUCACAGGAAAAUGAAUUGGUGCUCACAGACCACUGUGAUCAUUUCCUCACACCAUUUGACUGAAACACCAAUCCACACGUGAGCAGUUUAUCAAGUGAACCCCAUGAUUCCCAGCUGCUUAUUCCAUAUCUGACACGCGUCUGGAGGACUGUCGCACCGAACCUUGUUAUUACUCAGCAACAUUUCUAUUUGGUCUAAUGAUCUUUUCAUCUUUUGCCCAGUUCUCUGUGAUUUAUCAGCACGUCUGAGCAGGAGCACGCUCUGUGCCGCAUCAUUUAUCAUUUUGUGCUCUUAUUAUCAAUAUCCUUAAUUUCCAGCGCGGCCCACUCCUUCACAGAAGGUUGAAGGUCUUCGCUUUCAUCUGAUAUUGACGAGUGAAUGUCUCGUGUCAGACGUUCGUGUGGACCACGAGGCUUCUACUGCACUUGGGAUCAGCCUUUUCUGUGGCUCACCGCUGUUUAUGGUUGCAACGUCUCUCCUCAUCAUAAAAAUCCUUUUCAUCAAGUUGUAUGUUUUUUUUUUUUCAGAAGUUGAAGGUAAUCGGUUGGACAAAUGGAAGAUAAUGUUCCUAUAUAUAAUGCUACAUUUACCAUUGGCAUUAUAGAAAUUUAGCCUUUUUUUAAUAAAUAACUUUCUUGGAAUUCAAGAUGCCAAAUUUUCUAAAACACAUUUAUAUAGAUACUGUAUAUAAAAUCUUCAACUACUCAAGCAGAAAUGUGAACAUAAUUUAAAGGCAUUUUAUUGCAAGGUAUUUUUUUCCACUGUAGUUCGUUUUUAUUUUGAGGAGGAAGAAAUACUAUUAAUAUAAAAUGAUGUAAUUUUGUUAGCAUGUCUAAUAACUAUGAGAGAAGAAAAACAGACACGUUACGACACAUUUGUUGGAGUAGAGGUCUGAUAUAGGUAGAGAGUUUGAGUGCACUGAUGUUCUCCACCCUGGCGUCAGAAGUGGGAUGAUAACAUGGGAGCCAUAUUGUGGGGGUCCUGAGAUUGUGAAGAUGAUGCCUCGGGUUUAUCCUCACAAUCUGCGGGGCAAAGGUUCAAAGCUCAGAGUGAACACGUGUUCUUUAUUCUUGUCAUGUGCCUCGUGUACUUAUCGACAGUGAUCAACUGAUCUGAAAAAUAAAGUUUCUCUUUUUUGAUUCGCAUCCAGGGAUUAACGUUCUUUUGUGACUGUGACUUUGCUCAGAAACAUGGUUCAGUGAGUUCAUCGUUGGAAGUGUUUCCUAACAGUGAAAAAACAAAACUACCCAGCACCAGUUGGCUCUCGUCUUUUCCUUUCAUUUUGAAUGUGUUUGUGAAACGCCGCAGCUGUUUACAGGGAAGGAGUGUUUGCUGAAGUGGCUCAGUGUCAGAGAGCGCGCCUCCGCCUCCACGCCAAAGAAUGCGAGCUGCUGAAACGCUGGUCUGUGUGGCGGAGGAGCCGCUGUCAUGGAUGAUGUCUGAGAGGGAGAUUGUUCCGCAUGAUUAAGCCGUGACCCGGGCCCUUCAACAAUGUUCCUGCUGAGCUCAGAGGUUAAUGUAACCUUGUCUCUGAGCUCACUGUUGUGGUCAGCCGCAUCUCUGUCUGUGGUCAUGAAACAGGCCAUUAGCAUCAUGACCAUGAUGACGAGGUGAAGAAGGAAAAAGAUGUUUGUGAUGAAUUGCUUCAGUUUCUUCAGUUCAGCUCUGACUGUGACUGAGCUGCGUCACAUUCCGCCAGUGAACAGAUUUGUAUCGUGUAAUGUAGGUUUUUGCAAUUGCAACUCUGCUACUUCACGUUUUGAAAGAGUUAUGUGAAGAAAUGUCAAGUCAUAUCCCUUUUGUCUUAUGAUCAGACAAAAGUGUUUGUCUUCAUUAAAUCACUAAAUGUUAUUUGUCUGAUAUUUUCAGUGGUUUGAAGACGCUGAGCGUAUCGUGUCAGCGACUGCGGCGAGAGACGGAAUGCUGAACAAGAACAAUGAAAAACACUUGAUAUUCAUGAAUAAAUGUGUUUUUCAAUUAAAAAUGUCUUGUUGAAGAAAUGGCAUUUUUCAAAUGUAAACACAUAACAUGAUCUGUGGAUAAAAAUGUACAAAAAUAUUUUUGGAGGAAAUGAAUGGCUAGAUUUUUUAAGGGAUAAUAAUAAAGAGAGAGACAAAAGACACUUAUUCCAAUGCAAAAAAAGGCCAUGUCUCUAAAAUGUGUUUUUCAUUUUUAUGGCAUGAAAAAGUGUGGAACCUCUGUGCGACACAUAAAAUUCUCUUUCAUUUUCGGUUCCUCCUCUUCGUAACCAAAAGUUUAUCACAGUAAAGCGUCUCCCAGUUCUGUUUCCAGUUCAUGAAUGAGACGGUUUUACAGGUUGUUUGUGGUUUCGGUUGGUCUUCAGCGACUCUCUCUAGGACUGAGAGUUGAGCCGAGGACAGCAGCAGAGUAAAGGAAGUGCUCCUCAGGGUGGAAGUAGGUUCACAUCUGCCGCAGCCUUUUCAGUUCCCCCACAAAUGGCCAUGACCCACAGCUCCAGGCAGCACAGCUCUUGCACUUGUGUCGCUCGAUAAAACUGCAUUUCUCCUGUUCGAUGUUGGCUGCAGAAGAAAGAGGGACGUGCAGGGGUCAAUGUACCAUCACAGAGAGGCAUCAUGGGAGUGGGACAGAACAGAAAGAUCCUGAAUGAAGUGAAGACGAUGACUUGUGGAGGAGAGACGAUUCACCGUUGCACCUCUCUCUGAUCAUCACCAACAUGUGCUGCCUCAAGGCUCUCGGUCAUUACUGAAAAUGAAGCCUCAUUUGUUCAAGCGACGCAGAAACAGGUCAUUGUUGUUAUCACUGGUGGAAGAAUGUGAUUAGCUUCAGUGCCUGAGGUGGAGUUCUGGUGAAAUAGGAGCCGCGAUAACUGCAGCGCUUCAGCCGGGACAUGGACUGCAGUGAGGAUUUCACUGGUCAGUGCUGCAGAGACACACAGACUGUUGCUGGAGUAGAGCAGGAGUCCUGCUGACCUACAGUGGUGGAGAAAGGUGUUCGGACGCCCCUCGCACUGUGCUUUUUUUUUUUUUUAAUCUGAUGGUUUAUUUAUUUUUGGUUCAGUUUUGAACACAUCUUCUGUUAUUUGUUGACCUUUAUACUGAC